CUCCAGCAGGCCACAAAUGUGCAUGUAUCUCCUCAAACGGUCAGAAACAGACUCCAUGAGGGUGGUAUGAGGGCCCGACGUCCACAGGUGGGGGUUAUGCUUACAGCCCAACACCGUGCAGGACGUUUGGCAUUUGCCAGAGAACACCCAGAUUGGCAAAUACGCCACUGGCGCCCUGUGCUCUUCACAGAUGAAAGCAGG